GACGAACGCUGGCGGCGUGCUUAACACAUGCAAGUCGAACGGAAAGGCCUCUUUCGGGGGGUACUCGAGUGGCGAACGGGUGAGUAACACGUGAGUAACCUGCCCUUGACUUUGGGAUAACUUCAGGAAACUGGGACUAAUACCGGAUAGGAGCUCCUGCUGCAUGGUGGGGGUUGGAAAGUUUCGGCGGUUGGGGAUGGACUCGCGGCUUAUCAGCUUGUUGGUGGGGUAGUGGCUUACCAAGGCUUUGACGGGUAGCCGGCCUGAGAGGGUGACCGGCCACAUUGGGACUGAGAGACGGCCCAGACUCCUACGGGAGGCAGCAGUGGGGAAUAUUGCACAAUGGGUGGAAGCCUGAUGCAGCAACGCCGUGUGCGGGAUGACGGCCUUCGGGUUGUAAACCGCUUUCGCUCAUGACGAAGCUUUGUGUGACGGUAGUGGGUAAAGAAGCACCGGCUAACUACGUG
rnacentral:rRNA from 1 species